rnacentral:rRNA from 1 species
CGCCAGACUCCUACGGGAGGCAGCAGUGGGGAAUAUUGGGCAAUGGAGGAAACUCUUACCCAGCAAUGCCGCGUGAAUGAAGAAGGUCUUCGGAUUGUAAAGUUCUUUAAUUGGGGACGAAAAAAAUGACGGUACCCAAGGAAUAAGCCCCGGCUAACUACGUGCCAGCAGCCGCGGUAAUACGUAGGGGGCAAGCGUUAUCCGGAUUUACUGGGUGUAAAGGGAGCGUAGACGGCGGCGCAAGUCCGGAGUGAAAGCCCACGGCCCAACCGUGGGACUGCUCUGGAAACUGUGCGGCUUGAGUGCGGGAGGGGCAGGCGGAAUUCCUAGUGUAGCGGUGAAAUGCGUAGAUAUUAGGAGGAACACCGGCGGCGAAGGCGGCCUGCUGGACCGUAACUGACGUUGAGGCUCGAAAGCGUGGGGAGCAAACAGGAUUAGAUACCCCAGUAA